GUCUAAACUGACGCAGUUUUUGUUGCUAGUUCCAAAAUAAUAAAAAAAAAACAUAAAAUAUUACAGCAAAUUUUCGUAGUCGAAAAUUGGUUGCGUGUCAACUUUAUUUCGCGAAAAAAUCUUUCGACGGCACAACGUGUUUAAUUGCGAUUUGAAACAAGGAGGCGGAAAAAGUUUUUUUUAUCAAAAAUAUAUUUCGUUCCACAUACAACAGUUUGUAAGUAAUUUUUAUAUAAGGCUUAACAAAAAUUUUGCACAGCGACAUGAAUGUCAAGCGAGUCAAAUAUCUCCGCCCUUUUUGGAACUCUAUGAUUCGCGCAUGGAUAACAAGUCCAAGAAUAACCAUGAUGAUGACAUUCAUGGAAAGUACACAGCUGCAAAUCUGUUUUUAAUUUUUGGUGAGACAAAUGGCAAGUACUGGCUAAGUCUUUGUAUUUUUACUUUUUGAUUUCAACGUAUUACAAGAAGAGAGUAGUAAAAGAGCGGCAAGUCUAAUAUGAAGGUCAGAGGCAAGGAGACAUAUAACUGCUUAGUACACAAUGAGAAAGUGAAAACGAAUCGGGACAACAAGGGUGAACGAACUUUCUUAUGAUUAUUAUACAGCGGGGUAUUGUUAUAUACUCUAUAAUGAAACCGGUGUGAUCGGAGAAUCAUCCAAAAGUAUUAUAAAGAUACUAUUUUAUGUAUCGAUUAAGUACUAGCCCAUACAUAUGUACAAAUUUAUAUACAUAUGCGUAUACGUAAAUGUGAAAAUUUCUGAAAAAUUUAACGUAUAGCGUAUUGUAAUAAGUCUCGAAUAAUCAAAAUUUUAAUCAAAUAUCCACGAAGAAGCCUGAGAUGUAGUUUAUAUUAAAUAAUUGUGCUAUAAUUUGUAAUUACUUUAAAAAUAUGUAUUAAACCUUGUGCCUAAUUUUUGUAAGAUUAUGUUUCUGUAAGAUUUGAGACUGGUCAUACCAUAUUAUAUUAAGUUUGCCACGAAGUUUGUAACACCCAGAAGAAAAUGUCAGAGACCCACGAGCUGAAUUGAUUUAUGUAGCUAUGCACGUUUGUCUGUCUUUCUCUAUAUACGCAACCUAGUC